rnacentral:lncRNA from 1 species
UUAGGUAUGUGUGGAGGUGUCAGAUACUACAACUUGUACUUUCAUAAGCGAGGGCUACUAAAAACAAAUUACCUCUGUCGAUGGUACAACCAAACUUUUCUCCUUUCUCUUGCUUGCUUCCGCCAGUGCUGCACUCAUGCAACGUGUCUGUCAGGGAGCUUGACAACACCACCACGGAUGACGCCGUGCGCCGCUGCUGCCGCCCCUCCACGAAUGCCAGGAAUUCGAUGAACG